rnacentral:misc_RNA from 1 species
GAUGAAGAACGCAGCGAAAUGCGAUACUUGGUGUGAAUUGCAGAAUCCCGUGAACCAUCGAGUCUUUGAACGCAAGUUGCGCCCGAAGCCAUUAGGCCGAGGGCACGCCUGCCUGGGCGUCACACGUCGUUGCCCCCCCAUCUACUCCUUCGGGAUUGCGGGGGGCGGAUGAUGGCCUCCCGUGCGCCUCGCCGCGCGGUUGGCAUAAAUGCCAAGUCCUCGGCGACGCACGCCACGACAAUCGGUGGUUGCGAAACCUCGGUUGCCCGUCGUGUUCGGUCGUCGCGCAUCGAGGGCUCGAAAAAAUUGCCGGGUUCCGGCUCGGCUUUCAACGCGACCCCAGGUCAGGCGGGGUUACCCGCUGAAUUUAAGCAUAUCAAUAAGCGGAGGA